rnacentral:rRNA from 1 species
GACGAACGCUGGCGGCGUGCUUAACACAUGCAAGUCGAACGGAAAGGCCCUGCGUUUGUGGGGUGCUCGAGUGGCGAACGGGUGAGUAACACGUGUGUAACCUGCCCUUGACUUUGGGAUAACUUCAGGAAACUGGGGCUAAUACCGGAUAGGAGCUCCUGCUGCAUGGUGGGGGUUGGAAAGUUUCGGCGGUUGGGGAUGGACUCGCGGCUUAUCAGCUUGUUGGUGGGGUAGUGGCUUACGAAGGCUUUGACGGGUAGCCGGCCUGAGAGGGUGACCGGCCACAUUGGGACUGAGAUACGGCCCAGACUCCUACGGGAGGCAGCAGUGGGGAAUAUUGCACAAUGGGCGGAAGCCUGAUGCAGCAACGCCGCGUGCGGGAUGACGGCCUUCGGGUUGUAAACCGCUUUCGCCUGUGACGAAGCGUGAGUGACGGUAAUGGGUAAAGAAGCACCGGCUAACUACGUG